AUGGCAGAGUUAGGGCUCCGGGAGGAGGACCUCGAUGAUGUGGUUUUCGAUGAGAAGGAGGCACCAGAUGAGGCGGCGCGUUGGAUAGCGCUUGUUAGGGUUCAUACCGCUAAAACCUAUAGCCAGUUUUGGUUCUUCAGGAACAUGCGAGCAGCAUGGGAUCUCGCCCAGGAAGUUCAGUUCAAACCUCUGGAAGAUAACUUGUAUACGACGCAGUUUUCAUGCCUGGGCGAUUGGGAAAGAAUAACACAAGAUGGCCCAUGGCACUUCCUUGGUGAUCCGGUGAUCAUUAAACCGUACGAUGGCUUGGUGAAGCCGUCUACAGUCCAGCUUGACACCAUCGAGAUAUGGGUGCAGAUGCAUGAUGUACCUCCCCUGUAUGCUCAUCUAGUGCCCUCCCUAGCUUCAAAGGUGGGAGAAGUUCUUUUUGCUGAACCACAAUCGCAUGACUUCGCGGGAAACUUUCACCGCGUCUGGGUUCGGAUCAAUGUAAAUAAGCCUCUGAAGAACGCAGUAUCGAUGAUAAAGGAAGCGCCAGAUAUACAGGCUAAAAUACGAGAAACUGCCCGACUGGUGUGCGGUUUGUGGUAUGUUGGGGCAUUUGUUCAAAGAACAUGGAAGUGGUUUACACCCUCCUUCAGCUCUUGUUUUCAAGGAUCUCAGGGCAAGCUGGGUGAUGAGUACUGGACAGGGCCCGGGAGGAGGCCGGGGAUGCAGAGGAGGACGACGAGGGGGACGCGCUGGACGAGGAACAAGCUCUCGUUCGGAUCCUGA
rnacentral:rRNA from 1 species